rnacentral:lncRNA from 1 species
GGUUGCUGGUCUGAAAAUGGUUUCCUUGGCCAUUUUGGGCUCACUGUGCCAGCAGCGCCGCGUUGCCAUGGCCACUGCAGUCAUAUGCGGUGUGGUGCCGGCACCUGCAGUGGGGUUGGGAUUCAGCAAAAAAAGAGUUGAAGGUUUGGGGUAAGAGCAGGGGGAUGCUGUGGAGCUCCAUAGGCCUGUAGUUGCAAGACAGGCUAGAGUUUGAGCGUGACUUAUCUUUUUUGUUGGAUGUGAACUCCAGUUUGUCAAAUGGAGCUCAGGCCCUGGUGGUCAUCUGUUUCAAUUGGUGUUGGGCUGUCCAUCUGCAAGGCAGAUGAGAGGCACGAGAGGAGCAGCCUCCUGCUCUGCUUCCCCGUGCUGCCCUCCCCUGCACAGCCCUGCUCACCAGGUUGCUAGUCUGCCAGCCAUGCCCGUGGCAGUGUGUGGCUGCCAGUUUCUCCAAGCCUGGGUGGAAAGCGGCGUGGCAAUCAGCAGGCCUGGUGCCAGCACCUAGAGAGGGACCUGUGCUCAGCUAAGGG